GAUGAACGCUGGCGGCGUGCCUAAUACAUGCAAGUCGAGCGAAUGGAUUAAGAGCUUGCUCUUAUGAAGUUAGCGGCGGACGGGUGAGUAACACGUGGGUAACCUGCCCAUAAGACUGGGAUAACUCCGGGAAACCGGGGCUAAUACCGGAUAACAUUUUGAACCGCAUGGUUCGAAAUUGAAAGGCGGCUUCGGCUGGCACUUAUGGAUGGACCCGCGUCGCAUUAGCUAGUUGGUGAGGUAACGGCUCACCAAGGCAACGAUGCGUAGUCGACCUGGGAGGGGGGUCGGCCACACUGGGACUGAGACACGGCCCAGACUCCUACGGGAGGCAGCAGUAGGGAAUCUUCCGCAAUUGACGAAAGUCUGACGGAGCAACGCCGCGUUAGUGAUGAAGGCUUUCGGAUCGUAAAACUCUGUUGUUAGGGAAGAACAAGUGCUAGUUGAAUAAGCUGGCACCUUGACGGUACCUAACCAGAAAGCCACGGCUAACUACGUGCCAGCCGCCGCCGUAA
rnacentral:rRNA from 1 species